rnacentral:lncRNA from 1 species
CCUAAUUUUAAAUUACAUAUUUUUUCAUGCAAGUUAAAAUUUAAUCAUUAAAACGUCAAAAUUAAAAUCAAAACUGUUAAAUAUAAUCUAUAGUAUUUAAAAUCAGAAAGUAUUUGGAUAUUUUCAAAUUAUAAGAUCAGUAAUCCGUCUCGAUUCGCGACUUUUUGAUAGACUCGAGACAUUUAAGAUCUCUUGCUCUGUUAUAAUAUCGUAAUUUAGUAACACUUUACAUCACUUCUAUAUUAGCGACAUACCAGCAUAUAUAGUCAAUUAUAUUGAAUUGCGAGACUCUAUUAUAAUAAGUUAAUAAACUCUGAGCAAAAAAUUAUUAUAAAUUAAAGUUUGAAAAUUA